GUUGGGUAGGGGAGCGUUCUGUAAGCCUGCGAAGGUGGCCUGUGAGGGUUGCUGGAGGUAUCAGAAGUGCGAAUGCUGACAUAAGUAACGAUAAAGCGGGUGAAAAGCCCGCUCGCCGGAAGACCAAGGGUUCCUGUCCAACGUUAAUCGGGGCAGGGUGAGUCGACCCCUAAGGCGAGGCCGAAAGGCGUAGUCGAUGGGAAACGGGUUAAUAUUCCCGUACUUGGUGUUACUGCGAAGGGGGGACGGAGAAGGCUAUGUUGGCCGGGCGACGGUUGUCCCGGUUUAAGCGUGUAGGUGUGUGUUCCAGGUAAAUCCGGUUCACUUUAACACUGAGGCGUGACGACGAGGCACUACGGUGCUGAAGCAACAAAUGCCCUGCUUCCAGGAAAAGCCUCUAAGCAUCAGGUAACAUCAAAUCGUACCCCAAACCGACACAGGUGGUCAGGUAGAGAAUACCAAGGCGCUUGAGAGAACUCGGGUGAAGGAACUAGGCAAAAUGGUGCCGUAACU
rnacentral:rRNA from 1 species